rnacentral:rRNA from 1 species
UGGGGAAUAUUGCACAAUGGGGGAAACCCUGAUGCAGCGACGCCGCGUGAGCGAAGAAGGCUUUCGAGUCGUAAAGCUCUGUCCUAUGAGAAGAUAAUGACGGUAUCAUAGGAGGAAGCCCUGGCUAAAUACGUGCCAGCAGCCGCGGUAAUACGUAUGGGGCGAGCGUUGUCCGGAAUUAUUGGGCGUAAAGGGUACGUAGGCGGUUUUUUAAGUCAGGUGUCAAAGCGUGGAGCUUAACUCCAUUAAGCACUUGAAACUGAAAGACUUAAGUGAAGGAGAGGAAAGUGGAAUUCCUAGUGUAGCGGUGGAAUGCGCAGAUAUUAGGAGGAAUACCGGUAGCGAAGGCGACUUUCUGGCCAUCUACUGACGCUCAGGUACGAAAGCGUGGGGAGCAAACAGG